rnacentral:rRNA from 1 species
GCCCUUCCUACGGGAGGCAGCAGUGCGGGAAUAUUGGUCAAUGGGGGAAACCCUGAACCAGCAAUGCCGCGUGAGUGAUGAAGGUUUUCGGGUCGUAAAGCUCUGUCUUUGGGGACGAAUAAAUGACGGUACCCGAGGAGGAAGCCCCGGCUAACUACGUGCCAGCAGCCGCGGUAAUA